UAGGGAAUAUUGCACAAUGGGCGGAAGCCUGAUGCAGCAACGCCGCGUGCGCGAUGACGGCCUUCGGGUUGUAAAGCGCUUUUCGGGGAGAUGAGGAAGGACAGUAUCCCCGGAAUAAGGCUCGGCUAACUACGUGCCAGCAGCCGCGGUAACACGUAGGAGCCAAGCGUUAUCCGAAUUCACUGGGCGUAGAGCGCGUGUAGGCGGCUUGGUAAGUUGGAUGUGAAAGCUCCUGGCUCAACUGGGAGAGGACGUCCAAUACUGCCGGGCUAGAGGGCGACAGAGGGAGGUGGAAUUCCCGGUGUAGUGGUGAAAUGCGUAGAUAUCGGGAGGAACACCAGUGGCGAAAGCGGCCUCCUGGGUCGCACCUGACGCUCAGACGCGAAAGCUAGGGGAGCGAACGG
rnacentral:rRNA from 1 species